rfam:Capsicum annuum cultivar Zunla-1 unplaced genomic scaffold scaffold2938, whole genome shotgun sequence
GUUGAGAUGGUCGAGUUAGUCUAAGGCGCUAGAUUAAGGUUCUGAUCCGAAAGGACGUGGGUUCAAAUCCCACUCUCAACA